GCCGUCACCUGGGCCAGGCCUUGUGUGCCCAGCGCUGCCCGUCCUGCUGAGGCCCGAAGAGGAGCCCCACACCCUGCACUAGGCACGGGGGCGUGGACUUCCGUCAGGCAACGGGACCCUGCUGGCCCUUCAGGCUCUCGGUAGGUCCUUCCUCCAGCCCCUCCCUGCUCUCCUCUGCUCAGCCCUGGGCAUCCGUGUUCUCACGUGGAGCUCCCUGUGACUCGGCCAGGCACAGGCCCGCCUGUACACCGAUGGGGGGCAAGGGGAGCCGACUCAGGACGCUGCACCUUGCCUUGCACAAAUUCGUCUCCCCAUGACCCUCAUAGGCGACAUGAGGACAGAGCACCAGGACCCGCUCAGCUCCACGGGCCCACAUGGACAUUUGCUCACGAUUUUCAUGCUCCUUUAUGUGCUGGAGGACUUCUCUUGCAAGGUCCCCAUCUUGCUGAGGUGUUGGCCAGGCUGCAGACCCUCACGGGCCCCGGAGGGCUCUCUCCCGGCUGCUGCUUCUGCUGUCCUCUCUGCGUGUCGGGGCUCCAAGAAGGCCCACAGCCAGGGACCCCGAUCUGAGAGGGCACCAACUGAUGUCAUCUUUAUAAGGAUUGUGUACCAUUUUAAAAACUCUCUCCCCGCCUUCCUACCCCUCUGGUCAUGGAGGAAGCGUGUCCCUGGUCCUCAACCAGCCUCUUGAUGGCUGCAGAGAUGGAUGUUAGUGGGGUCUGUGACGCAGGCUCAGCGUUCCACUGUUCUCACCCUGCCCAGCCCGUCCUGCACACUCACGGCCCCGCUGGGUACUCCUAGGACUCUAACCCUGAAGGGCUCUGCUGGAUGGAGCUGCAGGUCCUCUCGGUGCCCCCCUCGGUGAUGCCCCUGUAAACCUGUGCCUGUGGUAAACGCCUUCGGUGUGUUUCCGGAGGCCACAGCCCCUGUUAAAGAGCACAGGCCGCAGCCCAUCCUGCUGAGCCCAUUGUCUGCCUGUCUCUCUGCCGGGAGCAUGUUCAAACAUCGAAAACCCCCUCCUCUCUGCGGUGAGGGCCUGGGGGCUGGGAUUCAGCAUAAGAAAUGUCCACAACACACCAACGGCAUGGCUGGUCGUCCUCUCCCAGCUCCCCCGGAGCCCGAGCCUCUGCAAGCGGGGACGGCCCAGCCAUCCGGGGCGCUUCUGCACCAGUGCCCCUGCCUCCUGGGAGCCCCCGGGGGCGUACUAGCUCUACAGCAGGGAGAUGGUGUCACAACUUCUCCCACACACACAUCCUAAUGCUUUUGAGAUCCUGGCUUCAAACAACAUCAACUCACCAGCAACACCCUCCGCCAGGGGCGUGAAAGCCCCCGGGGCCUGUCACUUGAUUGCUGACGUGUGUGAUGGCAUAGAAAGCUGCUUUUUCUGUAACUUAUUUGGAGAGAUGAGGAACAGAUUUAGCCAAAGUCCUCUGACAGCAACUUAAGAAACUGUGGGAUGAAGGAUCCCGGAUGCUCCCUGAUGCUGUUAGCAGCCUCCCUCGUGGGUACCAAAAUGUGAUCUGUGGACAAACGGAGCCUCAUUAUAACCCAGACUUCUGCCAGAGAGCAUCCUGCAGCCAGCUGGGGCCCAGGGAGGGCUCUGCUGACACGAACCAGAUUGCUCUGGAAAUCUGAAACUCCGUGCAGGGCUCCCAGCACCAGGAUGGCACCCCCAGACCCAGAGAAGUACUGGCCCGUGGGGUGCCCACUCAAGGAGCUUUCCCCCGCAAGCCUCUUUCAUGGUGAGCCUCCUGGCCCAGCAGCAAGCAGCGGGCGAUUGUGAAAACGCUUUGUGAGCAAGCGGGGAAUGUGCCUGGGAGAAAGGGCGAUGAAAAGCAGAUGAAGGCAGGAGUCGGUGAUGGGGCUCCUCCUGGAGAGCAUCCCACCCUGGGCAGAGGGGCCGCCAGGCUGGGGAGGUCUCUGUGUCUCCUGCACCAGCUCCAGUUUGGCCAGAUUCAUGGGAAAUGUUCCCGCGUGGGGGGAGCAUGUCGAGUGCAGGACGGAGAGUUCUGAUGCUGGAGCUCGCUGCACCCUUGAGUGCAGAUCGCACAUCGGUUAGUGCGGGUCACCCAGCUCCUCCCUGGGAGCAUCUGCAGUCCAGGACCCAAUCAGCCCCACCCACGGGGUGGGGGACUCUUACUUCCAAAGAAGUGGAAUAAAGAUACCUGGCUCCUCCUUCCCA
rnacentral:lncRNA from 12 species